GAUGAAGAACGCAGCGAAAUGCGAUAAGUAGUGUGAAUUGCAGAAUUCAGUGAAUCAUCGAAUCUUUGAACGCACAUUGCGCCCCUUGGUAUCCCGAGGGGCAUGCCUGUUCGAGCGUCAUUUCACCACUCAAGCCUGGCUUGGUGUUGGGCGACGUCCCCUUUGGGGACGCGCCUCGAAACGCUCGGCGGCGUGGCACCGGCUUUAAGCGUAGCAGAAUCUUUCGCUUUGGAAGUCGGGGCCCCGUCUGCCGGAAGACCUACUCGCAAGGUUGACCUCGGAUCAGGGAGGGAUACCCGCUGAACUUAAGCAUAUCAAUAAGCGGAGGA
rnacentral:misc_RNA from 1 species